rnacentral:rRNA from 1 species
GACGAACGCUGGCGGCGUGCUUAACACAUGCAAGUCGAACGAAGAGCGAUGGAAGCUUGCUUCUAUCAAUCUUAGUGGCGAACGGGUGAGUAACGCGUAAUCAACCUGCCCUUCAGAGGGGGACAACAGUUGGAAACGACUGCUAAUACCGCAUACGAUCUAAUCUCGGCAUCGAGGAUAGAUGAAAGGUGGCCUCUACAUGUAAGCUAUCACUGAAGGAGGGGAUUGCGUCUGAUUAGCUAGUUGGAGGGGUAACGGCCCACCAAGGCGAUGAUCAGUAGCCGGUCGGAGAGGAUGAACGGCCACAUUGGGACUGAGACACGGCCCAGACUCCUACGGGAGGCAGCAGUGGGGAAUCUUCCGCAAUGGACGAAAGUCUGACGGAGCAACGCCGCGUGAGUGAUGACGGCCUUCGGGUUGUAAAGCUCGGUUAAUCGGGACGAAAGGCCUUCUUGCGAAUAGUGAGAAGGAUUGACGGUACCGGAAUAGAAAGCCACGGCUAACUACGUG